rnacentral:rRNA from 1 species
CAAGCCAGUUUACUGGUGAAGUGGCUGAUACCAUACUUCCAGGAAAAGUCUCUAAGCUUCAGUUACACUGGAAUCGUACCCGAAACCGACACAGGUGGUCAGGUCGAGUAGACCAAAGCGCUUGAGAGAACUCUGCUGAAGGAACUAGGCAAAAUGGUACCGUAACUUCGGGAGAAGGUACGCUGCCGGCGGUGAUAGGACUUGCUCCUUGAGCUGUUGGCAGCCUCAGAAACCAGGCCGCUGCAACUGUUUAUUAAAAACAUAGCACUCUGCAAACACGAAAGUGGACGUAUAGGGUGUGAUGCCUGCCCGGUGCUGGAAGGUUAAUUGAUGGGGUUAGCGUAAGCGAAGCUCUUGAUCGAAGCCCCAGUAAACGGCGGCCGUAACUAUAACGGUCCUAAGGUAGCGAAAUUCCUUGUCGGGUAAGUUCCGACCUGCACGAAUGGCAUAAUGAUGGCGGCGCUGUCUCCAGCAGAGGCUCAGUGAAAUCGAAUUCGCCGUGAAGAUGCGGUGUACCCGCGGCUAGACGGAAAGACCCCGUGAACCUUUACUGCAGCUUGACAUUGAACUUUGAUCUUACUUGUGUAGGAUAGGUGGGAGGCUUUGAAGUGGUGACGCUAGUUGCCAUGGAGCCGUCCUUGAAAUACCACCCUGGUAAUAUUGAGGUUCUAACUCUGCUCCCUGAUCGGGAGCGAGGACCAUGUCUGGUGGGUAGUUUGACUGGGGCGGUCUCCUCCUAAAGAGUAACGGAGGAGUACGAAGGUGCGCUCAGCGUGGUCGGAAAUCACGCGUAGAGUAUAAAGGCAAAAGCGCGCUUAACUGCGAGACCCACAAGUCGAGCAGGUACGAAAGUAGGUCUUAGUGAUCCGGUGGUUCUGUAUGGAAGGGCCAUCGCUCAACGGAUAAAAGGUACUCUGGGGAUAACAGGCUGAUACCGCCCAAGAGUUCAUAUCGACGGCGGUGUUUGGCACCUCGAUGUCGGCUCAUCUCAUCCUGGGGCUGAAGCAGGUCCCAAGGGUAUGGCUGUUCGCCAUUUAAAGAGGUACGCGAGCUGGGUUUAGAACGUCGUGAGACAGUUCGGUCCCUAUCUACCGUGGGCGCUGGAAAUUUGAGAGGAUCUGCUCCUAGUACGAGAGGACCAGAGUGGACGAACCUCUGGUGUACCGGUUGUGACGCCAGUCGCAUCGCCGGGUAGCUAUGUUCGGAAGGGAUAACCGCUGAAAGCAUCUAAGCGGGAAGCCUACCUCAAGAUAAGAUUUCCCCGAGACUUUAUGUCUCCUAAAGAGCCGUUGAAGACUACGACGUUGAUAGGUUGGAUGUGGAAGUGCAGUGAUGCAUGAAGCUGACCAAUACUAAUUGCUCGUGAGGCUUGACUAUACAACACCCAAGCAGUUG